GAUGAACGCUGGCGGCGUGCCUAAUACAUGCAAGUCGAGCGAACAGACGAGGAGCUUGCUCCUCUUACGUUAGCGGCGGACGGGUGAGUAACACGUGGAUAACCUACCUAUAAGACUGGGAUAACUUCGGGAAACCGGAGCUAAUACCGGAUAAUAUAUUGAACCGCAUGGUUCAAUAGUGAAAGACGGUUUUGCUGUCACUUAUAGAUGGAUCCGCGCCUCAUUAGCUAGUUGGUAAGGUAACGGCUUACCAAGGCAACGAUGCGUAGCCGACCUGAGAGGGUGAUCGGCCACACUGGAACUGAGACACGGUCCAGACUCCUACGGGAGGCAGCAGUAGGGAAUCUUCCGCAAUGGGCGAAAGCCUGACGGAGCAACGCCGCGUGAGUGAUGAAGGUCUUCGGAUCGUAAAACUCUGUUAUUAGGGAAGAACAAAUGUGUAAGUAACUAUGCACGUCUUGACGGUACCUAAUCAGAAAGCCACGGCUAACUACGUG
rnacentral:rRNA from 1 species